rnacentral:rRNA from 1 species
AUUGAACGCUGGCGGCAGGCCUAACACAUGCAAGUCGAGCGAGCGGCGGACGGGUGAGUAAUGUAUGGGGACUGCCCGAUAGAGGGGGAUAACUACUGGAAACGGUGACUAAUACCGCAUACUAUCGGAUAACCCAGAUGGGAUUAGAUAGUAGGUGGGGUAAAGGGUAACCUAGGCGACGAUCUCGAGCUUGGCUGAGAGGAGGAUCAGCAACACUGGGACUGAGACACGGCCCAGACUCCUACGGAGGCAGUAGUGGUGAAUAUUGCACAAUGUGAGCAAGCCUGAUGCAGCCAUGCCGCGUGUAUGAAGAAGGCCUUAGGGUUGUAAAGUACUUUCAGCGGGGAGGCGUUACCCUCAGAAGAAGCACCGGCUAACUCCGUGCCAGCAGCCGCGGUAAUAC